rnacentral:rRNA from 1 species
GUGGGGAAUAUUGGACAAUGGGGGGAACCCUGAUCCAGCCAUGCCGCGUGUGUGAAGAAGGCCUUUUGGUUGUAAAGCACUUUAAGCGAGGAGGAGGCUACCGAGAUUAAUACUCUUGGAUAGUGGACGUUACUCGCAGAAUAAGCACCGGCUAACUCUGUGCCAGCAGCCGCGGUAAUACAGAGGGUGCAAGCGUUAAUCGGAUUUACUGGGCGUAAAGCGCGCGUAGGUGGCCAAUUAAGUCAAAUGUGAAAUCCCCGAGCUUAACUUGGGAAUUGCAUUCGAUACUGGUUGGCUAGAGUAUGGGAGAGGAUGGUAGAAUUCCAGGUGUAGCGGUGAAAUGCGUAGAGAUCUGGAGGAAUACCGAUGGCGAAGGCAGCCAUCUGGCCUAAUACUAACACUGAGGUGCGAAAGCAUGGGGAGCAAACAGGAUUAGAAACCCGUGUAGUCC